rnacentral:rRNA from 1 species
UGGGCAACCUGCCCUCAGCUCUGGGAUAACUCCAAGAAAUUGGGCUAAUACCGGAUGUGACCGCUGACCGCAUGGUCUGGUGGUGGAAAGAUUUAUCGGCUGGGGUUGGGCCCGCGGCCUAUCAGCUUGUUGGUGGGGUAGUGGCCUACCAAGGCGACGACGGGUAGCCGGCCUGAGAGGGUGACCGGCCACACUGGGACUGAGACACGGCCCAGACUCCUACGGGAG